UACGUAGGUGACAAGCGUUGUCCGGAUUUACUGGGCGUAAAGAGCGCGCAGGCGGUCGAUCAAGUCGAGUGUGAAAGCCCCCGGCUCAACUGGGGAGGGUCAUUCGAUACUGAUCGACUCGAAGGCAGGAGAGGGUAGUGGAAUUCCCGGUGUAGUGGUGAAAUGCGUAGAUAUCGGGAGGAACACCGGUGGCGAAGGCGGCCAACUGGACGAACACUGACGCUGAGACACGAAAGCGUGGGGAGCAAACAGG
rnacentral:rRNA from 1 species